GGUGCUGGUUUUGGGGUCUCUGAGGGAAUUUGAGGGGGGCAGUAAGAGCUUUAAGAGAUGAUCUGGGGGCAGUUUUGGGGUGCCCUGCAGGGGUUGGGGCAAUUCUGGGGUCCCCUGGCAGUUUUGGGGUCCCCUGGCAGUUUUGGGGGGUCUGUUCUGUACCCCGGGCAGUUUUGGGGUCCCUGGGCACGUUUGGAGUGCCUGGACAGUUCUGGGGGUCCCCGGGCAGGUUUGGGGCUGUUCACCAGGGAGGUUUGGGGUGCCCUGGGCAGUUUUGGGGUGCCCUGGGCAGUUUUGGGGUGCCCUGGGCAGGUUCAGGGUCCCUGGGCAGGUUCAGGGUCCCCAGGCAGUUUCGGGGUGCCUGGGCAGUUUUGGGGGGUCUGUUCUGUACCCCAGGCAUUUCUGGGGUCCCCAGGCAUUUCUGGGGUCCCUGGGCAGUUUUGGGGUCCCUGGGCACGUUCGGGGUGCCUGGGCAGGUUUGGGCUCCCCAGGCAGUUUUGGGGAUCUGUUCUGUUCCCCAGGCAUUUCUGGGGUCCCUGGGCAGGUUUGGGCUCCCCAGGCAGUUUUGGGGGGUCUGUUCUGUACCCCUGGCAUUUCUGGGGUCCCCGGGCAGUUUUGGGGGGUCUGUUCUGUACCCCUGGCAUUUCUGGGGUCCCCGGGCAGUUUUGGGGGGUCUGUUCUGUACCCCGGGCAGUUUUGGGGUCCCUGGGCAUGUUCGGGGUGCCUGGGCUGUUUUGGGAUCCCCAGGCAGGUUUGGGCUCCCCGGGCAAUUUUGGGGAUCUGUUCUGUUCCCCAGGCAUUUCUGGGGUCCCCGGGCAGUUUUGGGGUCCCCGGGCAGUUUUGGGGUGCCCGGGCAGUUUUGGGGUGCCCCAUCAGUUUCGGGGUGCCC
rnacentral:lncRNA from 1 species